GAACGGAAGGAGUAUUCGGCAGAGAACGUGGCGGCUGCCAUUCAAGCAGUUGCAGAGGGAGCUAGUCUGAAGCAUGCUUCUGAAACGUGGGGAAUCCCAAGACUGUUCUGUGGAGAAAGGUUCAAAGAGAUGGCGGCAAAGCUUCUCUGAGGAGACGGAUGCGGAAAUAUACCCCUGCCGUGAUGGAUCUAGCUUGCAAUGCAUUAUUGAGUGGUCACAGUAUUACCAGAGUAGCCAAUCAGUUCAAGAUACCUACUUCAACUUUAUUCAGGGAAAAACAAAGACUAGUGAAAGAGGGCAAACUACCAGCUCGCUCCAUUAAUACCAAAAAAACGCAUAGUCUGAUACAAAAAAUAAGACUGGAUCAAGCUGUAGCCGCUUGUCAAGAUGGUAAAAUGUCUCAAGCUUUAGCAUCUCAAACAUUCCAGGUUCCAAAAACAACGAUUUGGAGGCGAUUGCAAAGAUCGGCUGGUAACAAUGGUAGUAGCAAACAAGAGAGGAGAAGGCGAAACCAAGUUGCGAUGCUCAAAGCAGAUUUUCUCGAUGGAAGCUCAGACGAUGUUGCCACAGCAAUCAGCUCGGACACAGGAGAGGAGUUCACCUUCAGUGAGGUAGUGCCCAUGACCUACCUGAAUGUAGGAGAGGGUGGUGAAGUGAAUGAACAUUCAUUGAUAAUCCUGACCCCUUCGAAUGAAACAUUAGAUCUACAGAAUGUCGUUGUGGAAGAAGAAAUCACUGAAAUUUCCGCAGAAGAUGCCCAAGCGGAGGAGGACGAGCAAAACCAAGAUCAAGAAGCAGCCGUCAUGGAUCACUCAAUUCUGGGAAUAGACUGCAGUUGAAGAACUCAGGCACAAAACGAAUCCCACGAGUGCCAACCCACCGCUACAGCUGAGUUAUGUAUUGAGAUUCAGGCUGCCACUCAAAAUUAAACUAAGCCACUCAUUAUUGUAGGAAACCUUCCUGAACAGAACUGAGUUAAGCAGAAAGGAACCAACCCACAUUUUGGAAAAAUGGAGUUAUGAGUGGUUUUGAACUCAACCACUGCUCUACUAUCUAUCGCCAAAAUUCAAAGUUUUUGCUGGAGCAAAUUUUGCAGAAAUUGAACUUGAAGUUUAUCUUUUACAUUGAGUCUUAUGCAGGAACCAAACUUUAAACCUAUUUUUCUCGGUUCGAUCCUGAUGUGGCUUGGUUCCUUUCUGUUUAACUCCGUCCAACGAUACUAUGCAGUAGCUUUGUUCGACCAGUUUCCAAAUUUUGUUUCGUAUCAACGAUAGUAGGUGUUUAACCCAGAAGGAACAGCAGUUAUCUUGGGUAGCUUCAAAAUUAUCUUUUUCGCCUCGGCCAUUGCAUGUCUGAUAGUGUCGCUAGUUCCACGUCUUUACGAAUGUAGUCUUAUUUGGAAAUUUUCACUCAAAAGUUACUUGCACAGUGUCAAGUGGCCUUAUCAAGCUUAUAUGUGUAUUUUUUUCUGGACUUAAUGUUUUCUCUGAAACAGGUUCGGUGACCUUCAGUGUGUUGUAUACUUAUUUUUAGCAGUGAAGCCUAGUUUUUGUUUUCUAGUCAAGAAAUGGAGCACAAGUAGGGUAAAACGAGAAGCAACCGGAAAUAAGUCGAUAAGCCAUCGUUUGAUGCAUACUGUGUGUGAUCAGAUAUUGAUCAGUGCUCACGUUGCUUCUUUCUGAGAUCUUAAAAUCUCAUUUUGACCUACUCCAAGCUAGCCUGCAGCAGUGCAAAAUUAUCAAAUAACUGUUAGAUAAAGCAAGAGAAUAGCUUUUUGAGAUCUAACUUUUAACAUCUCUUUACUCAAAACUUCUAUACAUUCUUAACAAAACGUUAUUAGAUAUGAUACAAAUUCCAAAAUCUCAUGAAACUGAUGAUUCAGUUUUUUUGCUUGCCUAAGCCAGCCAUUAAACGGAGUAUCUAUUAAUUUAAUUAUACAGUGGAGUCGGUAUAUAACGAAGUUCACGGUUCCCAGAAAAACUUCGUUAUAUCCGGAACUUCGUCAAAAGCGGACUCUAUUGAGUGUAUAGGGAGGUUCCAGGGGAAUGAAAAUUACUUUGUUAUAUCCGAAACUUCGUUAAAAGCGGGUUCAUUAUAUACGAGCUCCACUGUAUUUCUCACUGAUUUUUGUCUAAAUAGUCAGUGUUUCAAUUUUUGUACAUAUUUCAAUUGUUUAGUGAAGUUAUUUUACCAUCACAGUUAGCUCUCUUGCAAAUUAUCUCUAUACCCCAAAAAAAUUGAAUAAAAAAAUUGUAACAUGCCGCGCAAGGCUGAGUUGAUUCGUUCCUUAACAGUCCCAAUAAGAAUAUAGAUUUAUCACUGCAGUUGACCCACAGGCUCAACGGAGACAAAAACACAAGACAGACAUUUGCAGGCAAAGUGUCAUGAAGCACUCUCUGUGCACCCCUGAAGUAAAAUUUGAGAAAUCAAUGUUUGCUUAUAUGAUGUCAUAGACGCAUAUCUUAUCCUUUGGAUCAUUCCUAAUGAAAGGACAUCGCACCAAAAAAUUUGAAGCCGGCUAAAUUUAGGUGUUAUUCAAAACUAUGUUCCUCACAGCCUCCAGAGCACUAUGAGCUUUUAAAAUCAAGCUUUCUAGUUGCCAAUUUUGUGAAAAGCGGGGAUAAAAUGUGAAUUUUUUGGUAUUUUUCAUGUAACACUAUGCUCAGUAAUUUUCCUCUGUUUAUUCAUCUUGUCAAGCAUCUGUAUCAGAGAAAUAUCAUUCAGUCAAAACCAAGUACCUUUUUUUUGUGCGUUUCUGUGAUUUUACUUGUAUUACGUCUAGUGUAAGUGUCUCUCCCUCUCUCAUUAAGAAUUUAAAACAGCAUCAUAAAUUUGCUGUUACCCCAUUAUAGGAUGAAUAGGAUUAAUCAAUUAGCAAGCUAUGGAAAUCAUGGUAGAACCAAGACAUCAGAGAGAUAGGUUUCCUAUAGAGAGAAGUCUUUCAUCCUUGAAAGGUUUCGUUAACUUUUACCAUCAACCCUUUUUGUUUUUUGUUUCCUUUGUUUUUUUUUAUUUUAGUUUUUACAAAUGCUCAUCUAAGAUUAUAUGUGUGAAUUGAAUAGGUUUUUUUGAAGUUGUCCAUAAAUGACUUCUUCCGAAGAACAGCAUUUUAACCUUAACCUUUUGUCAUGUACCUGUCGUGCGGAUUUGAACUCGCCUGAAUAAUGGAACAGUGGCAAGGGAUUUAUGCAGGGUUGUAGUAUAGUUUUUCCUAAGUAGAAUUUUGUGAAAAAACGAAGGAGUUCAUUGAAAAUUUAAUCUCUGUGAAGGAAAAAGCUAAUUGAAAACCAACCAAUCUAAAGGGGACUGUCGAAAUGAUGUAGCAAGACAAUGCCUGAAGCUAAGUUUAGCUGGUCAGCAAAUGCCGUUUCCCCCGACUGGUUAUAUCAUCAGAGCCCGCCAUAAUUUUCAUCAAGGUUUGGCAAAAUUUAAACCAAGGCAUCAGUAAAAGAACAUGAGUUCAGGAUUUUACAAGCCUUAUUGUAAAAUGCUCUCAUGUGUUAGUUUGACAAAGGUUCACCAAACUUAUUUUUUCUUUUGAUUCUACUCGUAAGUUUCUCACUAAGCUUCAUUUUAUUUUUGACUGUUGUACAAAUGAAGAAUAUUUGUUUUUGUCAGGUGUUUAUUCUUAUUACCUGUACAGUUACUAAGUAUUAACUCUUCACAAAAAAUUUACCAUGUUUUGUAAUUUUUUUACUCGCGACUAUGAUUAAUGUUGUUGUAAAUAAAAUCUUUAUUUAUUGAUUUAAAUUUUGUGAAUAAAUAUGUUGCCUUGACAUUCAAUUGCUAUUUUCUUAACCAAACCAUGAUAUACGACACUUAUCAUCGAAAAAUCCUUUAACCAUCAACUCUUGGAUUACUACCAGGGGGCUUCUCUUAAAAUAUGUACCAAAGCUAAAUUUCGGAUUUUUCCUCCUAGAUUAGGCAAUGCGAAAUGCAGUUAUGGUGAUUCGGUGGUUCCGGGAUGAUCCAUUCAUUUUAAAGUGAAAAUUCCUCAUCAAAUUUCUCUUCAAUAAGAUUAUAGAUUGGGGCACCACACUGGAAAAAAAAACACAAUGGAUCUAGAGUCCAGACUCUUAAAAACAUCGACAAGAAAAAGUACUCUUGAUUCAAUCAGAAUCUAGCUUAAAUCAAGAACCAAGCCUCUUGAUUUAAGCGGAUUUCGUUUUGAUUCAAGUAAAAAUCCGAUUGAAUAAAGAGUAUUUUUUCUUGUCAAUGUUUUCAAGAGUCUGGACUCUAG
rnacentral:lncRNA from 1 species